AGUGAACGCUGGCGGUAGGCCUAAUACAUGCAAGUCGAACGGCAGCAUAGUAAGAGCUUGCUCUUACGGGUGGCGAGUGGCGGACGGGUGAGGAAUACAUCGGAAUCUACUUUUUCGUGGGGGAUAACGUAGGGAAACUUACGCUAAUACCGCAUACGACCUACGGGUGAAAGCAGGGGAUCUUCGGACCUUGCGCGAUUGAAUGAGCCGAUGUCGGAUUAGCUAGUUGGCGGGGUAAAGGCCCACCAAGGCGACGAUCCGUAGCUGGUCUGAGAGGAUGAUCAGCCACACUGGAACUGAGACACGGUCCAGACUCCUACGGGAGGCAGCAGUGGGGAAUAUUGGGCAAUGGGCGCAAGCCUGAUCCAGCCAUACCGCGUGAGUGAAGAAGGCCUUCGGGUUGUAAAGCCCUUUUGUUAGGAAAGAAAAGCAGCAGGUUAAUACCCCGCUGUUCUGACGGUACCCAAAGAAUAAGCACCGGCUAACUUCGUG
rnacentral:rRNA from 1 species